GUUCCCUCAUCGCUCACAGUACUGUGUGGGCCUUAUGGAGAGGCAGUGCUGGAGAAGGUGCUCGAUGGUAAAGAGGCCCCUGAGAGAGGCUAAGUGGUCUAGAGAGCUCCAGAGAGGCUUCUUGAAGGAGGCCCAUUAGAAACAGCGGUCAGGUCGGGAGGCUGGGAAUAGACCAGAUGUUUGAGUUCCAGCCCCAGAAACAAACGGAUAGGAAAGUGGCAGCAUGAGGACCAGAUUCUACAUCAGGAGGGAUCCCCCAAUGUGGAUGUAACUUCGAAUCCCUCCCUGCCCCAAUCCUUCACCUAUCUUUGUUCUUUCUGAACAGUAGUGGGUAGAGAACUUGACAAACGCCCUCUUGCAGAGGGCCUUAAGGUGCAAGUUAUAUUUCCAGGUUUUUCUUGAUGUUUAUUCUGUUCCUAUCUCCUCCGCACUGGCCUCCAGCUCUAAGAGAUUUGAUUAUGCUCUACGUGCACCAUACGCCUCCUGCUGGCUAGAGUCAGUAAUUACAGCACCUAAUGGCCAGUCCCUAGAAAUCUGCCUUCAGAAAGAGUAGUGUUGAUACUUACCAAGUGUCAGACACUUUCCCAGGGACAUGCACAUGUGCCAACUUAUUUUCUUACAGGACCCCAUUAGUUCAGUAUUGUUCUUAUUCUCACGUGAUCCACGAUAAAACCAAAGCAGAGAGGUUAGCCCAAGACCACUCAGCCAGAGGAGUCAAGCUAGGUGAGUUUGCUGGUCAUGGCAUAGACUCCUUGACAAUGGCUGGCUGGCUAACACACACUAGCUUGUUUGCAAUCUCCUGUGAGGUUGUGAAGGAAAGAAAGGGAAAGAAAAGAAGAAAGAAAAAAAGAAAGACAACUUUAUAAGAAACAGUUACAAUAACUCACCCAUGUGUCACCAUUAACAAGACAGGGAGACAAUGGAUUGAGAAUUUUGGUUUCUCUAAAAAACAGAAAUAUCAUGCAAAUAUGUUUUUGUUUUAAUCUCAGGUGAGGGAUAGGAGACUGCUUCACAGCAGGUGACUGUGAUUUGCCUCGUGCUCCAGCAGGGGCGUGGUAUUGCCAGCUACAUACAGUUUCUGCGAGUAUGUGACGUCUGGAAUUCUUGGGACUUUUCAGAGGAUAUUUAAAUGCUAGCACCUUGAUUAGAAGGGGGUGUUUGGCCAGCUGGUGGUUUGUACAAUUUGCUUCAAGGAACUCAAUGUUCCUAAUCGGCAGGAAAAAGAUAUCUUCAUCCUUCCCUCUCUGUUUUGUCUCCUACCUAGUGUUAGUGGUUGAAAGGGUGGAAGAAGAUGGGAGGAGAAGGGCAGGAGAAAGAAGAACCCACAAAGCAGGCAAAAGUUCAGCCGUAAGACAAUAUUCUGGAAGGUGCAAUGGGAAUGCAGGGAGGACAAAGGAAUUCUCAUCCAAGGUUAAAGUUGGCCUUUGUGUUGGUGGAGGUUGGGAGAGGAGGUAUAUUCUAGUGGAGUGUGGACAUCCAACAUAAGGUUUAUCAGAGUUUUCAGGACAUUAAAACCAAAUGCAGCCACAUGACAAGUCCUCAUCUAACAUGACUGUUGUUCUUGGAAGAAUAAACCAGGACAGAGACAUGAAGGCAGAUGCAGGAAUGUCACCUUCUACAAGCCAAAGAGCGAAGUUCUCAGAAGAAAUCUCACAGCCAACCCCUUAACUUUGGAUUUCUGACUCAGAGCUGUGAGAAGACGAACUUUGAUGUUUUAGCCCCACGGUCUGUAGCACUGUGCCAUGUGGCCCUGGAGGACUGGCUCAUCUGUGUUCUGCUCUGUGCCUGCCUGUCUCUCGGUAGAAGCCCAUACCCAUCUUUGGUUAUCCCUGCAUCUGAUUUACAACCUCUGGCUUUGGUAUCCAGAGACACUACUUUCCAGCAUUCUUUGCUGGUGUGAUUUUUGCCCUUUCCCCCUAACUACUAGACAAAGAUACAACAGGCUUAACAAGUGAUCUGGGACACCCCUUCCUCUCGGUCCUGCUGGAGCUUCCUGACAGUCCGCUGACAUUAUUUAUGCAAGAUACACCAGCCUCCAGUGCAUAGCAUGUCAAGUUUUUACAAGGGUACUGGCUGUGUGGAUUCCUCUCUGCAGCUUCAGAUCUGGUAAGGUGCCUGGAUUUUAGAGGUAUGUGAUCACUUUGUUUUUGAGAGAAUAAUGUGUGCUUAUGAGGAAACAGAGACUCCAAAGAGAAUUCUGUGGGCAACCCCAGCCUUGGGAAUACACCGUUAGUCUUUUUCUUGCACAAGGCAGGCACUCAAAGUUCGUUCAAUGAACACAAGAGGAAAACUUCUCUUAUUUAGAUGAGUUUCUAGUAACUUCCAUCCACCACGGGCAUUGCUUGGCUUGCUUGGCCUGUUUCAUCUCAAGACCCAGGGUCAGUUGUGCUGGGAAGCAGACGCCGUCCUCUGCCAAUAGUGGAGAGCCAUGCGCACACACCUUUCUCACGGUGGAACUCUGCUUCCCUCUGGUGGCCACUUGCAGAACUGCAAUGGACAUUUCUGAGGAGGCCACAAAGAGGUCAGAUAGGUAUAUUUUCAAGCAGGAAGGAAUGAAAAGUACCUAUUUUAAAGUAGGUAUAUUUUAAAGCCUCUAAGUGGUUAGAAUAUUUGUCUAGCUGAAUACUGUAAUAAAUUUGGGAGAAUCUGAGUAUUAUUUGAGGUUUGGUGGCCAUCUAAUAAAUAUGCGGAUUCAGGACUGUGAUGUUGACUAGUUCCUAAUAACACGCUGUGCUAUAGUUCUGCUCAUACAUCUGUGUUUAUGUUCUCAGCCACAGUGGUGCUAAAUACUACAGUUUAAUCUUAGGAGACUCAGGAAAGUGUGGGCUCCCUGCUCCAAUAGGAACCUGGCAGUUUGGAAGCUGCAUUAUGAGUAACGGGAUGUGUCACCUGUGCUGCAUUAGAUGGAGAGAGACAAGGGUUCCAGACACAUCCCAGCGCCCUCACAUUAGUUUUGCCAACUGAAUUCUACUGACAGUGACACAGAAGCCACCCAUCCAGAGGGACGCCAGAGGGGUGCCAAGCCAGUCCUCUGCCCCCUGUGCUUAAAGUCUCAGGCAAUCCCAACCCUAUGUAUGGUACAUUACUCUGAUUCAUACACAUGCAUGGUAGCAUUUAAUUAAUAAAUUAAUUUAAUUAAUAAAUUAGGCAGGUUAAGAGAUUAGCAACAGUAAGCAAUAGUGAAAUGCACUAAUUGUAAUGAUAUACUGUGAUAAAAUGUAUGGGAACUCAGUCUUCCUCAGAUACCUCAUCUCUGAGCCACCUCUCCAGCCCUUGACUGUAUCUCGUGUCGUUAGAGUGAAAAUGAAAUAACUCAACAUGUCAGUUCAAGCCCAACACCACUUUUCUCAACAGCGUGAAAGGAAUAAUGAGACCCUGGACAAGGAGAGCAUGUGAUGACAUGUUAGGCCUUGCAUGGUCUAAUGCAUGGAGCAGGAGCUAGCAGUGAGGGGGAGGGGACUUUCCCUCCUCCGUGAAGCUUGAUAAUCGAGUCUGUCAAAAAUAAACCAACAGACAAGAGGAAAAUAGUUAUAUUAACAUGCAGGUGCAUGGCAGUCACGCAAAGUAAGUAAAAUAUAAGAAGGCUCAGAUAGCCAGCACCAAGAGAACCCCCUUCCCAGGGGAGAAGGGAACCAUGAUUCCAGCUAGAGAGGAAAUGGGAAUGAUUUUAGGGUUGACAAAUUAGCAGCAGAGGGGUCGAGGUCCCAUGGGGUACCCUGUCACUUUUAGAUUUAUUUUGAAGAGCUGAUCUUCCAAGAAACAGUCUUUAGGUGUGUGUGAGGGGGACACCUGAGGGGAGCCCUCCAGCACAGUGGUGCAGGAGUAAGGGUGACAGCUGGCACAGCUGGAGGUAGAGUGAUCUCAGGCUGCUUAUUCAGUUCAGCAAACAUGGUGGGUAUAGCUGGUCUUUGUUACUCUGUUUGUUUUUCUUUCCUACCCUUUAUUCUCUACCCCCCCCCACUAUCACUACAGAAAAGAGAAAUAAGGGGAGGGGAGAGGGAAAGACAGAGAGAGAGAGAGAGAGAGAGAGAGAGAGAGAGAGAGAGAGAGAGAGAGAGAGAGAGGUGUCCCAGAUUCUUAAUUUCUUUCCUUAUGUUUCUUCUUUGAACACGGCUACUUAACAAACCUCAACCAACCCUGCCCCCAAAUGACCACCAACCCUGCCUCUCAGGACCCCAGAAUUUCUGUACUCUCUGAAAAUUCCCAGAAUUCCAAACCUCACACACUCACAGAAACUAUCUGCAGCUGACAAAACCUCGCCUCGGCUAGAGCACAGGGCAAAUCAUAGUCAGUUAUGGAUUUGGGGAUUAAAUUAACUUAAUUAAUUUUAAUUAAUUAAUUAUAUUUAUCAACUUAUUUUAUGUAAUUACCCAACUAACCAGAACAAUUAAUUAAUUAAUUUAAUUCUGGGAUUAAAAUGAAAACAUAUUCUUAGAAUAUUUCUGUGUCACUUCAGAGGUGUCUUUUUCUGAACCCCAGGAACAGUGUGCCAAGGCACUGGACAAACAGUAUAGAGUAUCAACACUUGUCACCACUUUUCUAGUGUCCUGCAGGGGGACAAGAACAAUUCCUAGUCCUUAGAUUUGGAUCUGCCCAGUGUGGGCAGUGUUCCUGUCUUCCGGAAUGGCCUGGGUGUUCUUCAAGUGAGUCUCAGGAGGAUGGCAUCUCAUAAACACUCUGCCUAAAGGUCUUGCGUCUGAGGACCCCAAGGAAGAACUUGUUCAGCCCCGUUUGCCCCACUGCUCACUGGUGGCACAGCACUCACCGAAAGUGCUCUGGGGACAGACAGACAGACAGACAGACAGACAGACAGACAGACAGACAGACAGACACACACACACACACACACGCCUGUGCCAGCUUGGGUAUGUGUGCAAGUGCGCACAAGUGUGUGUUCACAUGCACACGGGAGGCCAGUGCAGUGUGGCGGGGGCAGCUUUUUGCACCGCGGGGAUUUGAGACCUGUAAGUCGAGGACCAAUGAGCUGAGGCAGGAAAUAGGAGGUGGGACUCUGGCAGGAAGAGAGGAUUCUGGGAAAUAGUAAGGGUAUAAAAGCGAGAUGAGCCGGGCGAGGAGGAGAUAGACCGAGGAGACGGAUAUAAGCUAGUAGGUAGGUAAACUCAGGGAGACGCUGAGGGAGACAAAAACGAAGAAGCAGUUCAUGACUGAAGGAGAGGUAACAACCUCAUGGUAGACAUAUAAUAGUUUAAACGGGUUAAAUAACUUACAAGCUAGUCAGGGGAUGAGCCAAAGCUUACGGCCCAGGCCUUUAAUAAUAACUACUUAGUCUCAGUGUCAUCAUUCUAGGAGCAGGCAAAGGGUUGGACAAAAGAACCCGGCUUAACUUACACAGUGAACAUUAUUUAUCUGGGCUCUGGGGACAGGACUGGCUAUUCCCGGGUCAGUCUGAACACUGAAACUUUAUGUCAUCUCCAUCUCCAAAUGCAGGCUUCCGCUGAUUCCUCACUGAGGACGGUCUGUUCUGAAUCUGGGGAUUGUCCGCCUACAGAGACAGACAUGACAGGCUAAUGACCCGAAGGCCUCAGACACAUGUUGCUCUUUCCGUGGGAUUUCCACCCGCACCAUCCAAAUGAGACGGUCGCAGGGAAAAGUCCUUCCUCGAUGAGAGUUUUGCUAAUUUGGCUUUUCUGAUUAAAUCUGGCCCGAGGAUUGCGGAAACACGAGGAGGAGCUGCAGUUGCUGGCGACGUAUUUAUCGUGGCCCGCAGCCACUGCAGUAGAAGCGGAGUUUCGUCUGAGGCUGUAAAGAAACGGAAAAGGCCUGAGGACUUCUGGAAGCACAGUUUGGUGAACAUCUCUGCAAAGGCCAAGUCAGCAGGAGGCAAGAGGAGGCAUGGUUCUUUUUCGGAGAAAGAAAGGGAGAGAAAAGGAGAAGAGGCAAGGAUGAAGAGGUCUUAGUGUCCCACUGCUGUGAAGAGAUGCCACUGCCAUGGCAGGCCUUAUAAAGGGAAGCAUUUAAUGGGGCUGGCUUACACUCAGAGGUUUAGUCCGUUCUCAGCAUGGCGGGAGCAUGGCAGCACGCAGGCAGACGUGGUGCUGGACAGGUAGCUCAGAGUUCUACAUCUGGAUCAGAAGGCAGCAGGAAAAGACAGUGAACCACUAAGCCAUGCUUCUGAAACCUCAGCCUCCGCCUCCCCAAGUGACACACAUCCUCUAGCAAGGCCACGCCUACUCCAACAAGGCCUUACAUCCUAACAAUGCUUGGUGACCAAGCAUUCAAACCCAGGAGCUUACGGGGCGUUCCUGUUCAAACCACCACCGAAGAAGACAGAAGAGCUCAAGAGGUUUGAACUCUAGCUGGACUCCCAUGUGGAGCUUGGACCAUCCAAUCUGUGUACAAGAUUUGCAGAUUGGGCUGGAGAGAUGGCUUAGUGGUUAAGAGCAGUGACUGCUCUUCCAGAGGUCCUGAGUUCAAUCCCAGCAACCACAUGGUGGCUCACAGCCAUCUGUAAUGAGGUCUGAUGCCCUCUUCUGGUGUGUAUGAAGACAGCUACAGUGUACACAUAUAAAAAAAUAAAUAAUCUUUUUUAAAAACAUUUAAAAAA